UUUACACUUUAAGAAUAGCGUAGUGAGUAUGGACAUGUUCUUCGGGUUUGUUUUCGCCAUCUUGUAUUCUACAUCCGUUGGGGCUACUCCAAAGAAGGGUAUUGGUGUUGGCAAGCCUUUAUAUCUCUGUAAUGAUACUAAUGCAUUUCAUGACGUCUCCUGGUGGUAUGACUGGCAUUACAUACCAAUUGAACAUCAAAGUAAACAUUGUACAAAUAAUCCACGUGGUGAAUACGUUCCGAUGUUGUGGGGUGAGAAGUCUGUUAGCGAUUCAGCAAUACAUGUACAACAUGGAUCUAAACACGUCCUCGGAUUCAAUGAACCAAACAUUGAUAGUCAGUCCCACAUGAGCCCGGAGAAAGCUGCUGAACUUUGGCCGGAAAUAGAAAAGAAAGCUGCCGGGAAGAAACUAAUAAGUCCUGCUCCAGCCGGCUGUGUCGAUUCAAAGCGUUGCAUCAGUUGGUUUACGAAAUUCUUUGCAGCUUGUAAGCAUUGUCAAGUGGAUGCCUUGGCUGUUCAUGCUUAUUCGUGUGAUGCUGAUCACGUUAUUGCAUCAUUAGAAGCUAUUGCAAAGCAUUUUAACAAAAAGAUAUGGUUGACCGAAUUUUCCUGCCACUCGACUAAGAAUCCGGAACACCAACUUAGGUACAUGAAGCAGAUACUACCACUGUUAGAGUCAUCUUCACACAUAGAAAGAUAUUCUUGGUUCCAAACACGUAUUACCCACAACUCAACGUUCAUGAAUACUUCCACUGAUCUACUGGAAAGGAAUUCGUCGACCUUAACCAAACUUGGUAAAUAUUAUGAUGAGUAUAAACCUCCAGGUAUUGUUGGUUAAAUACAUGGAAUAAAACUACUGUUACAAAAUU